UAAUAAGCGGAGGAAAAGAAACUAACAAGGAUUCCCCCAGUAACGGCGAGUGAAGCGGGAAUAGCUCAAAUUUGAAAUCUCCGACGCUUGCGUCGGCGAAUUGUAGUUGCGAGAAGCACUUUCUCGGCGGAUCGGGCGUGCCUAAGUUGCUUGGAACAGUACGUCGCAGAGGGUGACAACCCCGUCUGUGGCACGGCCGGCCGCUCACGAUGUGCUUUCGAAGAGUCGGGUUGUUCGGGAAUGCAGCCCAAAACGGGUGGUAAACUCCAUCUAAAGCUAAAUAUUGACGUGAGACCGAUAGCGA
rnacentral:rRNA from 1 species